AAUGAACGUUGGCGGCGUGGAUUAGGCAUGCAAGUCGUACGGGCCGCAAGGCCAGUGGCGUAAGGGUGAGUAAGGCGACGGUAACCAACCCCAUGAUUGGGUAUAGCCGCGGGAAACUGCGGGUAAUCCCCAGCGACGUCCCCGGGGGGCAUCUCCUGGAGACCAAAGCUCCGGCGUCGUGGGACGGGCCGUCGUGGUAUUAGGUAGUUGGCGGGGUAACGGCCCACCAAGCCUGCGAUGCCUACCGGGCGUGCGAGCGUGGCCCGGCACACUGGGACUGAGACACUGCCCAGACUCCUACGGGAGGCUGCAGUCGAGAAUCUUCGGCAAUGGGCGCAAGCCUGACCGAGCGACGCCGCGUGGAGGAUGAAGGCCUUCGGGUUGUAAACUCCUGUCGAGGGGGAAGAAGGCCCCGAAAGGGGCUUGACUGAUCCCUGGAGGAAGCACGGGCUAAGUUCGUGCCAGCAGCCGCCGUAAAAC
rnacentral:rRNA from 1 species